rnacentral:rRNA from 1 species
GACGAACGCUGGCGGCGUGCUUAACACAUGCAAGUCGAACGGAAAGGCCCUGCUUUUGUGGGGUGCUCGAGUGGCGAACGGGUGAGUAACACGUGAGUAACCUGCCCUUGACUUUGGGAUAACUUCAGGAAACUGGGGCUAAUACCGGAUAGGAGCUCCUGCUGCAUGGUGGGGGUUGGAAAGUUUCGGCGGUUGGGGAUGGACACGCGGCUUAUCAGCUUGUUGGUGGGGUAGUGGCUUACCAAGGCUUUGACGGGUAGCCGGCCUGAGAGGGUGACCGGCCACAUUGGGACUGAGAUACGGCCCAGACUCCUACGGGAGGCAGCAGUGGGGAAUAUUGCACAAUGGGUGGAAGCCUGAUGCAGCAACGCCGCGUGCGGGAUGACGGCCUUCGGGUUGUAAACCGCUUUCGCCUGUGACGAAGCGUGAGUGACGGUAAUGGGUAAAGAAGCACCGGCUAACUACGUG